rnacentral:rRNA from 1 species
GACGAACGCUGGCGGCGUGCUUAACACAUGCAAGUCGAACGGAAAGGCCCUGCUUUUGUGGGGUGCUCGAGUGGCGAACGGGUGAGUAACACGUGAGUAACCUGCCCUUUACUUUGGGAUAACUUCAGGAAACUGGGGCUAAUACCGGAUAGGAGCUCCUGCUGCAUGGUGGGGGUUGGAAAGUUUCGGCGGUUGGGGAUGGACUCGCGGCUUAUCAGCUUGUUGGUGGGGUAGUGGCUUACCAAGGCUUUGACGGGUAGCCGGCCUGAGAGGGUGACCGGCCACAUUGGGACUGAGAUACGGCCCAGACUCCUACGGGAGGCAGCAGUGGGGAAUAUUGCACAAUGGGCGGAAGCCUGAUGCAGAAACGCCGCGUGCGGGAUGACGGCCUUCGGGUUGUAAAACGCUUUCGCCUGUGACGAAGCGUGAGUGACGGUAAUGGGUAAAGAAGCACCGGCUAACUACGUG